rnacentral:rRNA from 2 species
GUCUGUCUGUUUUAUAUGGAAAGUCUGGCCUGCCCACUGAGUUAUUGAAGGGCCGCGGUAAUUUGACCGUGCGAAGGUAGCAUAAUCAGUAGUCUUUUAAUUGGAGGCUUGUAUGAAUGGUUGGAUGAGGGACAUUCUGUCUUUUUUUUAUAUGUAGAAUUUAACUUUUAAGUGAAAAGGCUUAAAUUUAUUGGUGGGACGAUAAGACCCUAUAAAACUUUAUAUAUUUUAUUUUUGAUUGAUAAUUGGUUUUAACUUAAUUUAGAAUGAUUUGUAUUUCGUUGGGGAAAUGUUGAUAUAAAUUGUAAUUGUUUGUAGAAUUUAAUAGUUAUUACUAGAUUUUGAUCCUUUAUUAUGGAUUAUAAGUUUAAGUUACUUUAGGGAUAACAGCGUAAUUUUCUUUGAGAGUUCUUAUCGACAAGAGUAGUUGCGACCUCGAUGUUGAAUUAAAAUUUUAAGCUGGUGUAGUAGUUAGCUUUAUAGGUCUGUUCGACCUUUGAAAUUUUACAUGAUUUGAGUUCAAACCGGUGUGAG